rnacentral:rRNA from 1 species
UACGUAGGGGGCUAGCGUUGUCCGGAUUCAUUGGGCGUAAAGCGCGCGUAGGCGGCCCGGUAAGUCCGUUGUGAAAGUCAAAGGCUCAACCUUUGAACGCCGAUGGAUACUGCCGGGCUAGAGUCCGGAAGAGGCGAGUGGAAUUCCUGGUGUAGCGGUGGAAUGCGCAGAUAUCAGGAGGAACACCAAUAGCGAAGGCAGCUCGCUGGGACGGUACUGACGCUGAGGCGCGAAAGCGUGGGGAGCGAACAGG